GGACUGUAAAAACUUUUAUAAGAAAUAUGUUUAUUGAAAUCAGGUUUUGAUUUAAAAUAUUCUGACAAUAUUUCGUUUUAAACAAUAAAAAUGUCAAAAAUAGAAACAUAGCAUAGCUAGAAGCCUACAUAGAUGGUUGCAUGUCCUUGACCCUGAUGUAACAAAAUAUACACAUUUUUUUUUAGUUACUUAAAUCUAGCCUUUACCCAAUCAAAACUUUAAGAAUGAUCUCAUUGACAAUACAUUUGAAACCACACAUUUAAUCAUGCAAUAAUGAAUUCAUACAAAAAAGGAAUAUAAUUUAUUUUUUUUUAAAUUGUGAAAACUUAAACAAACAAACAAAAAGAAAAGAAACAAAAAAUGUUUUAGGCACUUAAUUGAAUGCCAGAUACACCAAUUCACUGUGACAAACUUUAUUGUACAUCAAAAUAGAAAGAAUGGAAUUGGACCCAAACAUAUAAACAAAUACAAAUAAAACAAUGGAAAAUGUUAUCAUUCAAUAAAGUUUGUGAUAAAAAAGAAGACAUAGCCACCAAAAAGCAGCUCAUGACAAGGGUUCUUAAUUAAUUAAUAGUAAUUAUUUUAAUUAUUUUUUUUCAUUCUUUGAAUACAUCUUUUUUAUUAGCUAUGACAUGCAGAAUUUAUAAAUUGAAAAAUAAGACGAGAUGUGAUGUGGUGAUAGAUAAAAUGUUAAGAACCCCUGGCUACUGAUUUGCAGCAUACACCAGUCUCACCAAGUGAUUCAUUUUACAAACAUGAUUAACUUGCAUUCCCAUAUUUUUCAAAAUAUAUGUUUACAAACUGGCAUAAGAGGUACAUCACUAAUAAAUUAGGACUAACAGAUAAUAAAUGCAUUAGAUUUCACAGACGGUAUACAUAUGUCAGUGACACAAUGGAGCUUACACACUAUUUCAGAAUCCUAUAACAACCAAAUUGUAUAUUAAAAUACCUGUUAGAAUGGCAUUGCUUUGGGAGGAAGUACUAAGCUAUUAAUGCUAUUGUUGGUUACUUUGAAAGAAAUGUCCAUGACAAUGCCCAUUAAAAAAUAAUUUUAAAAUGAAUAAAACUUUGGAAUCCAUCUUGAACCAGCAAAGCAAUAACAAUAUCUGGAAGUGUGAGUAACAUACAUUUUUGAAAGGGGUCCUAACCCAAGAAAAGUUGGGAAAUAUUAAACCUGUAUAACUGAAUGCACCAUAAAUAGAUAGAAUUUAAAUUUGGCAUGCCUCAUAUAUAUAAUGCCUGGUCGCAAUUUAAUAAUCAAAUCCAGAACUAUGACAGUGUUAAUUUAACAAUGGAAUGGUGGAAACAAGUUGAGCUUUGUAAUGUUUCAAAAGUUAAGAGGAAAUUUUUUUUUUUUUAUAUACCUUGUAACUCACUUUAAUAACAAAGGUUGAAAAAGAAGCUUUGUGAAAAAAAUAAUUAAGCUAAAAAAAAAGGUUUGGUCAAAAUGUUUUGGAUUCUUUUGGAAUGCAGAAGAAAAAUGAUUGGAAAUUUCUGAUGUUAUUAACAAAGUAUUGUAUAGGAGUAUAAAAGUCUAUUCUUGUACAAUAAACAAAAGCAAAAACAUGAUGAAAUUUAAACACUUACCUAUAUGAAGUUGACAAAGAAAGUUAAACUUGGUAUGACAAAUGAUUUUAAACAUAAAUGGUUAACAAAAAAAAAAAAAAAAGGUGAAA